UACGUAGGGUGCAAGCGUUGUCCGGAAUUAUUGGGCGUAAAGAGCUUGUAGGCGGUUUGUCGCGUCUGCUGUGAAAUUUCGGGGCUCAACCCCGAACUUGCAGUGGGUACGGGCAGACUAGAGUGUGGUAGGGGAGACUGGAAUUCCUGGUGUAGCGGUGAAAUGCGUAGAUAUCGGGAGGAACACCUGAGGCGAAGGCGGGCUACUGGGCCGAUACUGACGCUGAUGCGCGAAAGCCAGGGGAGCGAACGGG
rnacentral:rRNA from 1 species